ACAGGACCAAGUUAGAAACCAAAUGAAAUUUAAAGUAUUAAUUGAAUAAAAUAAAAAAUGAAUUAAAAUAAUUAAAAAUGUGGAGGGGCCAAAUGCACAAAUACCCCAUUAAGAUAAAGCGCGCGGAGCCUACCAUCGGGUCGGGUCACCGCGUGAAUACCAGCUUCAUACGACUCCAUUUUGAGACCACCAAACUCGGCCUCAAACGACGCCAUUUCUAGCUAGAUAUAAAAACUAAAACAAUCCCUAAUCUAAGCAGACUCUUCAGCACUUAAAAAAAAAGAAAAACAAAACCCUAAAAUGAGUAGACCCUUUGCACCGCAUCUGUAAACCGACUGCUUAGGGGACCUUCAAUCCUCGCCCGACUCCGAUUGUGACGGAGCGAACGAAGAUCAGGUAAACCCCUCACUUUCUCCCUUCUUUC
rnacentral:lncRNA from 1 species